GCGGCGUGUGGGCGCCGCCCGCACCGCCCGUUCUCUAACUCUGAGCUGCUAUUCUCCGUGCCUGUGUGUUCGUGCGGCCCUGUUUGCAAAGGACUGUUACGGGCAAAGUUGUGCUUUUUGGGGAGAAGUUGCAAAUAGCUACAGAAAAGGAGCAAACACCACCGAGGUCACAGCAAGGUUCUUUUUUCUCUUGUGUGAUCCUUGUUCUUCGCAGCCGUGUCCUGCCGUAGGAAGAGGACGUCAUCAAUUAUAUAAUGGAAGAUUUUUGUUUCUUCUGAAUGGUUGGCUGAUGCUUAGAAGAGCGUCUUGCUAUGAGACCGGAAGAGCGAGUUAAGAACCAGGAGCUUUGAAUGCCAGUAUGUGCUUAAUUACUGAUUCUGGUAGCUAUUUCUGCUAACAAAAGAAUGUCACCAUACUGUGAUUUAUAUUAAUACCCACAGUGCACUGUGCACCUGAAGAACAUGCAGCUGCUGGCCAGUGGGGGACCUGAUGCCUCCUGUGCUUUGCAGACUGUAAAAUUUGCUCUUCUCUCUUUUCUGGCAUGCAGACAGGUUUGCCUUGACACGGAGAUUUUCUGAAGAACCACUGUUCAUGGCUACAUUUUUGCUUGGAGCACAAAUGGAAUAAAAACAACCUUGUUUUGUAAGGCUAAGGCAUUAGAUUGAACAUCAAAAUUGCAUUUUUUAAGAGUCUGGUGGUCUGUAAAAACCAAUUCCAGCCAGAGGUUGCUCAUUUGGAAAUGGUGAAUGACAGCUGCUGCAGCUUUGGCAGACAGAAUUCUGAAUUGAACUUCUGCACAGUUCAGGUGCUGAGUCCUGACCAGAACUGUAAUUACACAGUGCAUAACAUACAUAAUUUACACUAUGAAAUGGUAUUUAUUUUUCUUUGUA